rnacentral:lncRNA from 10 species
CUGUGAAGUAUGAAGCAAAGGUAAAAGGCUUGCCCAUAUUAACAGAAAUAGCAAGUGGCAGAGGUAUUCCAGCUCUUAUUUUAACUUUCUUUCUGCAAUAUUUUACCCCUCUGGCCAAAUGAUAGUAUAUCUGUGUAUGAUUUACCUCAGAAAAUUGUGUGGCUGUACACUAAUGCAGUACACAAUUAAUUUUAUGAUGUUAAAUUAAAAAGAAAUGCCAUUCAUCAGACUAUUCCCCCAAAGGACUACUGAAGUUUUAAAAAAUCUUUAGAAAGGAUUCUAAAUCAAUACGAUGUUUAAAGAGUUUAAGCACUCACUGCUGCUUUUCUUGGUCCCCAAGGUCUGGCCAUCUUCUAAAGAGUUUGAACCUACUGAAGAACUAUCUUGACUGUCUUGAUGAGGGAGCUGAAGAAAUCCUUCACUGGAGUCUGAGCGGAAGUGGAAUCUAUUUUCCUUCUUCUUGAAUUUGGAAUGCUUUUGGCCAAGAGAAAGAGGUGGAAGUGAUGGUGUAACAGUUCCAAGUCUAGGCCUCAAGUUGCCUGUGGACUUCCACUCAGACUCUCAGAGCCCUGCUGGAGGAUGGAGAGACCACAUGGAACAGAGAAGGGUUAUCCCACCGAGGCCACCAUAGACCAGCCAGCCCUCAGCGUACAUGCCAGCUAAUUACAGAUGCAGGAGCAAACCCCUGGCCCAUACAUCAGUGAGUAGAUUAGCAUAGAUGCUCAGCAAACUCAGACUCAUUAGGCAAAAAGAAAUGUUUACUGUCCAUUACCACUAAGGUUGUCUCGUUGUUAAAGAGCAUUAUCAGUGUCAAUAGACAACUGAUAAAGCAUAUAUAAAGAAAAGAGAACAAUUUUUUUUGUUUGUUUGUUAGAUGGAGUUUCGCUCUUUCGCCCAGGCUAGAGGGAAGUGGUGCGAUCUCGGCUCACUGCAACCUCUGUCCCCCAAGUUCAAGCGAUUCUCCUGCCUCAGCCUCCCGAGUAGCUGGGAUUACAGGCAUGUGCCACCACGCCUGGCUAAUUUUUGUAUAUUUAGUAGAGAUGCGUUUUCACCAUGUUGGCCAGGUUGGUCUUGAACUCCUGACCUCAGAUGAUCCACCCGCCUCGGCCU